rnacentral:rRNA from 1 species
CGGACGGGUGAGUAACGCGUGGGUAACCUGCCUCACACUGGGGGACAACAGUUAGAAAUGACUGCUAAUACCGCAUAAGCGCACAGGACCGCAUGGUCCGGUGUGAAAAACUCCGGUGGUGUGAGAUGGACCCGCGUUUGAUUAGCUAGUUGGUGGGGUAACGGCCUACCAAGGCGACGAUCAAUAGCCGACCUGAGAGGGUGACCGGCCACAUUGGGACUGAGACACGGCCCAG